CUUUCGGCAGCAUCCACAAUGGCCAGCUCUUUCUCCUUGAGACACUCUCUUCUGCUGGCUUCCUGGCCCCUCUCUCGCCUGGCUUUCCUCCUCAGCCACUCCUGCUCAGUCUGCUGUACCAUUCCCUGCUGACUGCCAAAAUUCCACAAGGAGCCUGCCCGGGCUCCGUCCUCCUCCCUCUUUUCCAGUCUGAGCUGGAAAGCAGCAUAGGUCCCAUGGUACUCUACCAGUCCAGGAAGACCCAGAGACCGCCUGGGUCCUGGGGAAGAGGAUGGUGUCUGCCCAUCAGUGGGAGGAGCAGCCCACCAGACUGGAAACCCAGAAGUCUUCCUGGAUGUCUCCUCUCUCCCAUCCUCCACAUCGGAUCCUUCAGCAAGUGCUGUCAACUCCAGAGGUGGUCUCAAAUAGGUCCGCUUCUCUUGAUCUCACGGCCACCAGCCUCGUUCAAGCCUCAGCAUCUCUACCCUGUAGUCAUCUGUUCUCUGCAGCAGCCAGAGUGGGCGACUGCACGUGUGGAUCAGAUCAUUUCACUCCCACACUUAAACGUCUUCAGUGCUCAGAAGGCAGUUUGAGCUCCUUACGAUGGAGGAUCCUGCACAAUGGGCCCCAGCCCACCUCCCAGCCUUGUCUUGCUCCUCUGUCCCCCUCAUUCACAGAAGUGUGGCCGCUCUGGGCUUUCUUCUGUUCCUCAAAGAGACCAGCCUGUGCCAGGCCUCAGGGCCUUUGUUUAUGCUGACCUGGCUUCCUGAAGCACCUCCCCUGGGCUCUAGGAAUGGCUGCCUCCUUCUUAUCUUUCCGAUUUCAGUUCAAAUGCCAUUCCCCUCCGAGAUCUCCUUGACCACUGCAUUUCUUCAGGUUCCUGUGCCAUGUGCAUAUCUUCAUAGCACUGCACAUUGUGGAAUGACUUAUUGAUAUGUUUCUUUGCUUAUUUAUUUGUGUGUCUUCCCAUUAGAUUGAAGGCUUCAUGACAGCAGGAUCUGUGUCUGUCUAGCCCAACCUUGAACACUCAGCACCUAGCACAGAGCCUGGCACAUAGUAAAUGCUCAACAAAUACCCAGUGAAUGAAUGAGAAAAUCAGACAGUGCAGCGUGCCACGGCACAGUCCAACACUCUGCCACGGGGUCCCGAAUCGGAUCUACCACAAGCUCCAGCAUGCUACAGUGGUGCAACAUUCUCUCUGUCACAUGGCCCUGCAGACAGUGACAAUCCAACAGGCCCCAGGCAGCCCCGCAUGUCAUGACAUGGCCCUACAUACACAACAUUCAGCCUGGCCUGGAUCCCAGACUCAGUCCCAGGUAUUGUGGCUCCAAGCUCUGGACAUGUCCAGCUGACCACAGUGGGCCACAAGGGACCCCAGCCUUAGCUGGAGUGCCACCUGGCACCCAAACAUCUGAGCUCCCAAGCCUCAAGUAGUGGGUCCUCGGCCAGGAACCUGGGUCAAGCCGAGCACAAUGGGUCUUUGUCUUCCCAGAGGGCCGUGCUCAGCCUCCAGAGGAGAAUGGCCCAUUCUAAGCAUUCGGAGCAGCUGGAGGGUGGGAGGCCUGGACCCCUGGGGAGAAGAGAAAGUCCGGGCCUCUGCUCUGCUGUGUGACUUUAGGCAUGUCACUGCCCCUUUCUGGUUUCACCUCCCCUUGUAGAAACAAAAGAGCAUCAAAAGGCCUCUAGGGAGCAUCCAGGUACAGAUGGGAAAGGCCCAGAGAGGGCCAGUGGCUGCCCAGGGUCACAAGGGAGGAAGGACAGUCACUGCCAAGACCCAGGCCGCUUGCCUCCCAGGAGGCUGAAGGGCUUGGAGGGUUAGUCUUGCUGUGUCUCCUCACCUGUUGCUUUGCUCCAGGCCCUUGGACAAGAAUGAGGCAAAGAGUGAGUCACCAGGAAGGAGGGGGCCAUAGAAAAGGAAAGUGAGGUGUCCAGCCCCCCCCAGAGCCCUGCCCUUUUCCUCUCCUUUGGCCAAGGCACCCAGUGAGUCACGAGAUUCCACUGGGGCAGACUCAGCACAAGCUCAGUGAUGACGAGGGACCCCCAGGCCACGCUCUUGGCUCUGCUCUCUUCCCUGCUCUGUGUUCCUGCCUUCUAUGCACAGACAGACCAGCAAGGACAGGCAGACAGCCAAAACCCCCAAACAGACACCUACACAGACACACAGACACCCAGCCAGCCAGGCAGACAGACAGACACCUAGUAGAUAGGCGGACACAGACAGGGACAGUCACAGAGCUAUACACACAGACACACAAGCCAACAAGUACACAAAUGCAGGCAAACAACACUCUGAUGGACAGAGAGAACCAUGACCCACACAGAGGCAAUAUCCAGACAGAGUCACAGGCGCAGAGCAGACAGAAAGGUAAACGGAGAGACAAGGGACUCAGACAGACAGACAGACGCUCAACCAGAAACACCCCACAAACACAGCUCCUCAGAUACAUACACACACACACAUAAACGCACACACAACACAGACUCACAUGGAUGGCCUACAGGGGGUGAUUUGGGGCAAAGGACAGGCCAGAUGCCCCUGGGCCAGCCCCAGCCCCCAGCCCCCAGCCCCGGAGCCAUUCUGCCACGGACGCGUGGAAAUGGGCACUCCAUGUGCGAGCUCCUCUGAAGGCAGCCUCCGUAGCCCACCUGAGGGUCCGAUGCAUCCCGAUCCUGAGGGGCCGCCUCACCGUGAGAUGACUGCACGCUGGGUGUGAAAAGGGCCUUCCCAACCAGGACGGUGCUGAGACCUGUAGUGGGUGACUAAGGUGACUGGGAGGAAAGGAGUGUGACCUCCAGUGUGUUCUUCUGAGCCUCAGUUUCCCAUCUAGGCUUUGUCCUACCAGGUCCCUGAAGAGAGCAGGUGGGCCAGCUCCUGGGUGUGUCAGAGCCAAUGCAGGGGCCCCAGGACAUUACUCCCCCAUCUUCCACCCCCUCACCAGGGCAGGAUCCCCUUGGUGACUCACUGCCCAGUGCCCCCUGGCAGGGGGUAACCCAGUCACAGAUGCCCGUUGUCCUGGUCCCUCCCCUCCCCCAGGAGCUGGCCAGCUGAGGAUCCCCCUCGGCUGGGGGAGGGGUGCAGGAGGUCAGAGAGAGGGCAAAGGGAAUCCCCACACUUGCUGUGUCCCCUCCCCAGGGGUGCUGUGUGAGGCUCAGGCCUGGGGAGGGGAGGCGUCUGUCCAGGUGUAGUCUCUAUCAUCCUCGCGGCUGGGAGAAUCCUCUGGCCUGGGCCCAACCUGUUGGAAUAGAGGGCAUUGCGCAAUAGGGAGGUAAAAGGUGACGGCAGGCCUGGCGGGACAGAAGCCCCAUUGUUUGGGGCCCAGGCCAGCCUGGGCAAAGGAAGGGUUGAUGCCUCCAGCAGAAAAGGGG
rnacentral:lncRNA from 1 species